rnacentral:rRNA from 1 species
GAUCCUGGCUCAGGAUGAACGCUAGCGGCAGGCUUAACACAUGCAAGGUCGAGGGGGUAGAGGAAGCCUUGCUUCUGAGACCGGCGCACGGGUGCGUAACGCGUAUACAAUCUACCUUUCACAGAGGGAUAGCCCAGAGAAAUUUGGAUUAAUACCUCAUAGUAUAGCAGUUUCGCAUGAAACCACUAUUAAAGUUCCAACGGUGAAAGAUGAGCAUGCGUCCCAUUAGCUAGAUGGUAAGGUAACGGCUUACCAUGGCUACGAUGGGUAGGGUCCUGAGAGGGAGAUCCCCCACACUGGUACUGAGACACGGUCCAGACUCCUACGGGAGGCAGCAGUGGGGAAUUUUGGACAAUGGGGGCAACCCUGAUCCAGCAAUGCCGCGUGAGUGAAGAAGGCCCUCGGGUUGUAAAGCUCUUUUGUCAGGGAAGAAACGGUGAAUCCUAAUAUGGUUUGCUAAUGACGGUACCUGAAGAAUAAGCACCGGCUAACUACGUG